rnacentral:rRNA from 1 species
AUUGAACGCUGGCGGCAGGCUUAACACAUGCAAGUCGAGCGAGCGGCGGACGGGUGAGUAAUGUCUGGGAAACUGCCUGAUGGAGGGGGAUAACUACUGGAAACGGUAGCUAAUACCGCAUACCAUCAGAUGUGCCCAGAUGGGAUUAGCUAGUAGGUGGGGUAAUGGCUCACCUAGGCGACGAUCCCUAGCUGGUCUGAGAGGAUGACCAGCGACACUGGAACGGGGACAAGGUCCAGAAGCAGACGGGAGGCAGCAGUGGGGAAUAUGGCACAAUGGGGGCAAGCCUGAUGCAGCCAUGCCGCGGGUGUGAAGAAGGCAUUCGGGUUGUAAAGCACUUUCAGCGAGGAGGCGUUACUCGCAGAAGAAGCACCGGCUAACUCCGUGCCAGCAGCCGCGGUAAUUC